rnacentral:snRNA from 1 species
AAAUUGGAACGAUACAGAGAAGAUUAGCACGCCCCUGCACAAGGAUGGCACGCAAAUUCGUGAAGCGUUCCAUAAAAAAAUUUUUGUAUUUAAAAAAAAAAAAAAUUUUUUUU